rnacentral:rRNA from 1 species
UACGAAGGGGGCUAGCGUUGCUCGGAAUCACUGGGCGUAAAGCGCACGUAGGCGGGUCUUUAAGUCAGGGGUGAAAUCCUGGAGCUCAACUCCAGAACUGCCUUUGAUACUGAGGAUCUUGAGUCCGGGAGAGGUGAGUGGAACUGCGAGUGUAGAGGUGAAAUUCGUAGAUAUUCGCAAGAACACCAGUGGCGAAGGCGGCUCACUGGCCCGGUACUGACGCUGAGGUGCGAAAGCGUGGGGAGCAAACAGG